rnacentral:rRNA from 1 species
AACGAACGCUGGCGGCAGGCUUAACACAUGCAAGUCGAGCGGGCGCUUUCGGGCGUCAGCGGCGGACGGGUGAGUAACGCGUGGGAACGUGCCCUUUCCUCCGGAAUAGCCUCUGGAAACGGAGAUUAAUGCCGGAUACGCCCAAUUCGUAGCGAUACGGGUUUGGGGAAAGAUUUAUCGGGGAAGGAUCGGCCCGCGUCGGAUUAGGUAGUUGGUGGGGUAACGGCCUACCAAGCCGACGAUCCGUAGCUGGUUUGAGAGGAUGACCAGCCACACUGGGACUGAGACACGGCCCAGACUCCUACGGGAGGCAGCAGUGGGGAAUCUUGGACAAUGGGGGCAACCCUGAUCCAGCCAUGCCGCGUGAGCGAUGAAGGCCUUAGGGUUGUAAAGCUCUUUCAGCGGGGAAGAUAAUGACGGUACCCGCAGAAGAAGCCCCGGCUAACUCCGUGCCAGCAGCCGCCGUAAAAC